GGCUGGUUCGAGUGCAGUGGUGUUAUAACUAACUGAUCACAACCAGUUAUAGAAUUCCUUAUUCCUUCUCCACUCUCACUGCUUCACUUGACUAGCUUAAA
rnacentral:Y_RNA from 1 species